AGAAACUUACUAUAUUCUCUCUAUAACCGAUAAACAACUACAAAUAAAAAAAUUAUUUUUAAUCAUAAUAAAUAGAUUUUAUCUAGUUUACUCAAACUCUAGAAUAUAUAUUCUCUUUUUAGUAAGGCUACAUUCUCUGAUAAUAAAAAGCUUUUAAACUUUUUCAAAAACCUCCAUCCAUUACUUUGGUGGGCCUUCUUCCUUAUAUGAUCCCUUCAAGUAUUUUAGUCUUUUCUUCCUAACACCUUUUUCACAACCAUUGGGAUGC
rnacentral:lncRNA from 1 species